ACAUGCAUACAACAUAGCAUUAAUGCAUCAGAUCCCAUUAGAAUUCCGUAGUUAAGCGUGCUCAAGCUAGAGUAGUACUGGGAUGGGUGAUCACUUGGGAAGUCCUAGUGUUUUAAAUGCC
rnacentral:rRNA from 1 species